CAGGUUGAAGGUGCGGUAAAACGCACUGGAGGACCGAACCAGGGCACGUUGAAAAGUGCUUGGAUGACUUGUGGGUAGCGGAGAAAUUCCAAACGAACUUGGAGAUAGCUGGUUCUCUCCGAAAUAGCUUUAGGGCUAGCGUCGACAUUAAGAUUCUUGGAGGUAGAGCACUGUUUGGGUGAGGGGUCCAUCCCGGAUUACCAAUCUCAGAUAAACUCCGAAUGCCAAUGAAUUAUGGUCGGCAGUCAGACUGCGAGUGCUAAGAUCCGUAGUCGAAAGGGAAACAGCCCAGACCACCAGCUAAGGUCCCAAAAUAAUUGUUAAGUGGAAAAGGAUGUGGGGUUGCACAGACAACUAGGAUGUUAGCUUAGAAGCAGCUAUUCAUUCAAAGAGUGCGUAAUAGCUCACUAGUCGAGUGACCCUGCGCCGAAAAUGUACCGGGGCUAAAACAAUUUACCGAAGCUGUGGAUACCUUUAUAGGUAUGGUAGGAGAGCGUUCUAUGUGUGAAGAAGGUGUACCGUGAGGAGUGCUGGAACGCAUAGAAGUGAGAAUGCCGGUAUGAGUAGCGAAAGACAGGUGAGAAUCCUGUCCACCGUAAGACUAAGGUUUCCAGGGGAAGGCUCGUCCGCCCUGGGUUAGUCGGGACCUAAGGAGAGACCGAAAGGUGUAUCCGAUGGACAACAGGUUGAUAUUCCUGUACUAGAGUAUGUAGUGAUGGAGGGACGCAGUAGGCUAACUAAAGCAGACGAUUGGAAGAGUCUGUCUAAGCAGUGAGGUGUGAUAUGAGUCAAAUGCUUAUAUCUAUAACAUUGAGCUGUGAUGGGGAGCGAAGUUUAGUAGCGAAGUUAGUGACGUCACACUGCCAAGAAAAGCUUCUAGCGUUUAAACAUACUCUACCCGUACCGCAAACCGACACAGGUAGUCGAGGCGAGUAGCCUCAGGUGAGCGAGAGAACUCUCGUUAAGGAACUCGGCAAAAUGACCCCGUAACUUCGGGAGAAGGGGUGCUGACUUUAAGUCAGCCGCAGUGAAUAGGCCCAAGCAACUGUUUAUCAAAAACACAGCUCUCUGCUAAAUCGUAAGAUGAUGUAUAGGGGGUGACGCCUGCCCGGUGCUGGAAGGUUAAGAGGAGUGCUUAGCGCAAGCGAAGGUAUGAAUUGAAGCCCCAGUAAACGGCGGCCGUAACUAUAACGGUCCUAAGGUAGCGAAAUUCCUUGUCGGGUAAGUUCCGACCCGCACGAAAGG
rnacentral:rRNA from 1 species